AAUACUCCAGCUAGAAAAGAGGCUUAGCCUGGACAGACUGCCAAUUCAAUCCAUUCAAAACUUUGCCCAACCUCGAUUAGCACUACAGCGCAGUGUAUCAGGAAUGUAUGCAUUAACAACUUAGCUUCCUGGAUUUCCCAAGGGAGACUCUUUUUAUGUCAUCUGAAAUAACAGGACAGGCUGUUCGGAAAUCGGGAGAAAAAAUGGCAUUGUCAUCAAUAACAAGGUAGUUUCAUCAUACACAAUGAACGAUCCAUAUCACCACUUAAAUAUUGGACAUUCUCACUCUAAAAGAAAUAUGGUGGCAUUGGUCAACACUUUGAACAGCUCUACAACACACCUUAACAUAUCAUGGAGUCCACAACUUG